GGACCCCUCACCUGCCCGACCCUCCCACUCCCACAGCUCCUCUGCCCCCCCCACUGAUGACCCUCCCAUUCCUCCCCUGCCCUCCCUUCACCCACCAACCCUUUCUGCUUCCUAGCCUUCCACCCCCGCCCCCAGGACCACCAUCAACCUGAAAAAGAUUGUGCCCCAGACUGCAGAGGUGAGCCACUGUCCACACCCCAGCAGGCAGGUUCUUCCUGCUCUUACUUGGCAGAGCCCACUCCUCAUUUUUCUGUUGUCUAGGCCACCUCCCCCGGAGCCCAGAAGUCCAUCGCAGUGAAGAAGAUCGUGGCCCAGACCCCCGAGGUGAGCUUCAUUUCCUGUCCCUCAGCCUCACUUCUGCUCCCCAGGACUGACCCCUGUCUCUCUCCUUCCUCAGGCUGCCCCCCCUGUAGCCAGAAAACCCAUCACAGUGAAGAAGCUGGUGGCCAGGACCACGGAGACCCCUACCUCCCGGGGCCGCAAGUCUGCAGCCAAAAAGAACAUGUCCCCGUCUACAGAGGUCACACUUACGGAGAAGGAGAACUGUCCCCCUGUACAGGAAAGUGCCCCCCUUGAUAAAGGCAGCUCUCCUGUCACCGCGGGCCCAGCUCUGGAAGUGACUGCCACAAUGCUAGGCCCUCUGACCCCUAAUGCUGUCACCAGGCCAGAUCUCAUGGAUGCCAGAGACCUGGAGAUGUCCAGGAAAGUCCGGCGUUCUUACAGCCGCCUCGAUGACCUGGGCUCCGGCUCCACCUCGACGCCCAACUACCGACGGCGCUCCUUCUUUGGCUUCGACAGACUGCUCUCAGGAGAGGAGCUGGAGAACGUCUCCCCUGUGGUGGAGAAGGAGCCAAAAAGCCAAGCAGUCGCCCCCACCGCUGAGCCCUGGGGGCCGGACUUCACCCUGCCUGGCAUCACCAUGACCAAGGAGAAGCGCCGGAAGAGGAAGGCGCCCGAGAUCUUGAAAUCAGAGCUGGACGAGUGGGCGGCUGCCAUGAAUGCCCAGUUUGAGGCUGCGGAGAAGUUUGAUCUCCUGGUGGAGUGAGGUGGAUGAAGAGGGGAUGGCUGGACUGGGCCGGACUGCCCCCUCCUGUACAUAGUACUCGGCCGCCAUCGUUGGCUGCCCCCUUUGCCCGUGGAGAUGUGCCCCUUCUCUGGGGGGUUGGCGCUUGCCCUUUGAGCCGCCCUGGGUCCUUCUACCUCGUGGACGCAGAUGGGGACGUCGCUGAGAACUGCCUUGUUACUGCCCGCUUUUCGUAGCUCCCCAUCCAGUAGAUGCCGUGCAGACAGCUCUUGGGCUCGUCCCACUAUGUCCUGAGGUGCUUCGUUUCCCCUUCCCCAGGUUUUAAUCAGGAAGAAUAAAGGCGGCAGUUGGAACCCA
rnacentral:lncRNA from 1 species